GUGAGGAAUAUUGGUCAAUGGGCGGGAGCCUGAACCAGCCAAGUCGCGUGAAGGAAGAAGGAUCUAUGGUUCGUAAACUUCUUUUGCAGGGGAAUAAAGUGCAGGACGUGUCCUGUUUUGUAUGUACCCUGAGAAUAAGGAUCGGCUAACUCCGUGCCAGCAGCCGCGGUAAUACGGAGGAUCCGAGCGUUAUCCGGAUUUAUUGGGUUUAAAGGGUGCGUAGGUGGUUUGAUAAGUCAGCGGUGAAAGUUUGCAGCUUAACUGUAAAAAUGCCGUUGAAACUGUCGGACUUGAGUGUAAAUGAGGUAGGCGGAAUGCGUGGUGUAGCGGUGAAAUGCAUAGAUAUCACGCAGAACUCCGAUUGCGAAGGCAGCUUACUAAGCUACAACUGACACUGAAGCACGAAAGCGUGGGGAUCAAACAGGAUUAGAAACCCUAGUAGCC
rnacentral:rRNA from 1 species